GACGAACGCUGGCGGCGUGCUUAACACAUGCAAGUCGAACGGAAAGGCCCUGCUUUUGUGGGGUGCUCGAGUGGCGAACGGGUGAGUAACACGUGAGUAACCUGCCCUUGACUUUGGGAUAACUUCAGGAAACUGGGGCUAAUACCGGAUAGGAGCUCCUGCUGCAUGGUGGGGGUUGGAAAGUUUCGGCGGUUGGGGAUGGACUCGCGGCUUAUCAGCUUGCUGGUGGGGUAGUGGCUUACCAAGGCUUUGACGGGUAGCCGGCCUGAGAGGGUGACCGGCCACAUUGGGACUGAGAUACGGCCCAGACUCCUACGGGAGGCAGCAGUGGGGAAUAUUGCACAAUGGGCGGAAGCCUGAUGCAGCAACGCCGCGUGCGGGAUGACGGCCUUCGGGUUGUAAACCGCUUUCGCCUGCGACGAAGCGUGAGUGACGGUAAUGGGUAAAGAAGCACCGGCUAACUACGUG
rnacentral:rRNA from 1 species